rnacentral:lncRNA from 1 species
GCAAAUGGCAAAACUGAGAAAAGUAUUUGUAACAUAUGAAACAAACAAAAGAUUAAUAUAUUCAAUAUGUAAAGAAUCACUAUGAGCCUAUAAGAAAAAAAUUAACACUACAAUUGAAACAAAGGGGCAAAGGCUAAAAACUGGCAAUUCAUAGAGAAGAAAUAUAAAUGGUCAAUAAAAUAUAAAAACGUGUUUAACCUUGCUUCUAAUCAAAUAAAUGCAAAUUUAAACAAAUUACUGCUAAGUAAGACUUUCUUUUUAUUUAUUAACUUCUGUACUUCUUGACAACUUUUAAAAGGAACAUGCAAAUAAAAUAAAAAGAAUAAACUGUGCUACUGUGAAACUUGUGUAAACCUGUAAAGCACUCACUGUCUUCUAGAUCUUAAGAAUAUUCUUAUAGGAGUAUGCUUAUUAGAAAGCUAUCUGUUAACAAAUACAUUGUUAAGAGAAAAAAGUAGCCUAUAAAUCAGAAUGCAUAAUAAGAUCCCACAUUGGUGAAAAUACAUGUAGAAAUAUUAAAAGAUGGAAGAAAAUCUAGGUGCAUAUAUAAUAAAAUGUUAAUGGAUUAUUUCUGAAUAUUGCAAAUAUGGAUAAUUUUUUAAUUUUCUUGUUGUUGUAUAUACAUUUUCUAGUUUUUCAACCAUAAGCUUUAUUGCUUGAAGAAAACUUUUAAGUAUAACACACAUGUAGAAAAUUAUGUAACUUGUAAGUGCCAGCCUGAUGUAUAACCACAAAGUGAGCAAAACCAGUGUAUUAGUUUCAUAAUUUUAGCAUCUUUUGCAACCUGGAUAGGCCAAUAAUUCUAAAAUUAUCAAGUGCUAGUUAUUUGUUGAUUAGCAGUUCUUUCCUCAGUUUAUCUCUUUCCUCUAGUGUUGUACUACAAGCAGCAGCAAGGAAAAGCCAGGCCGCACCUUCCACACUUUACUUGGAAAUCUCCUCAGGCAACACAUUUUAAGAGGAAUAUUGACAAGCUAAACUACGUCCAGAUGAGAGCAAACAAGAUGCUGAGAAAACUCAUAGCAGUUGUAAAGUAAAAGAGCGUAAGUAUUUAACCCAAAGAAGAGAAGCCUCCAGAAGGAGUGAUG